GAAUAACCAAGUACUUGUGAGAGAAUCUUGCCCACAGUGGUUUUUCCAGAGCCCAUCAUUCCAACAAGAUAUAUACAGCGUCCAUUUAUAUAAGGCCCAACCUCUUGUGACUUAUUCUUUAAAAUCAGAGAUUCAUCAGAUGAAGCAUGGAAACUUCCAGAUUCCAAUACUGAAGCUGGGGAGUUCUUGUAAGAACAAAAAACUUUCAAAGAAACCGUUCUAUGCCCAUUUUUAUUUCUCUUGGGCUGAAAAUCAGCCGAAACUAUCACUGGAAAUUUCUGUUUUUCCUUCAAUCUACUCGAACACCUCAAAGAACCGGUGGGAUACUUCCUGCAGAAUUUUUCCGAUUCGAUCCACGUACCAGAAGAUUGCAUUCUUUGCGCAAGAUUCGCAUUCAUUUCUCACAAAAAGAGCUAAUUUUCACUGCAACUAAAAAAAAAAAAAGCUUUUAACCAAUUUCUUAAUUCGCAGAACCAACUCUUUCAAUACCCAGAUCGAGAUUCUUCAGAGAAAGCAAAAGCAGAGUCUUUUUAACACCAGAAAAUUUUGAAGGAGGCUUGAAGCGAUGAAGGAGAAGCUUCGGUCUCUCUUUCUACGUCUUCUUGCUUCCACCGUUCCGUUUAUAAAGCGGUCGUUGGGUUCUGGGAGGAAAUACCUUAGCCCCAAUUUGACGUGCUGAAAUUUUA
rnacentral:misc_RNA from 1 species